ensembl:lncRNA
AUAAUACUGCGUACAGUGUAGUGAUUGUAAUAAUACUGCGUACAGUGUAGUGAUGUGUAAUAAUACUGCGUACAGUGUAGCGAUGUGUAAUAAUACUGCGUACAGUGUAGUGAUGUGUAAUAAUACUGCGUACAGUGUGGUACUGUGUAAUAAUACUGCGUACAGUGUAGUACUGUGUAAUAAUACUGCGUACAGUGUAGUGAUGUGUAAUAAUACUGCGUACAGUGUAGUGAUGUGUAAUAAUACUGCGUACAGUGUGGUACUGUGUAAUAAUACUGCGUACAGUGUAGUGAUGUGUAAUAAUACUGCGUACAGUGUAGUACUGUGUAAUAAUACUGCGUACAGUGUGGUACUGUGUAAUAAUACUGCGUACAGUGUAGUGAUGUGUAAUAAUACUGCGUACAGUGUAGUACUGUGUAAUAAUACUGCGUACAGUGUAGUACUGUGUAAUAAUACUGCGUACAGUGUAGUGAUGUGUAAUAAUACUGCGUACAGUGUGGUACUGUGUAAUAAUACUGCGUACAGUGUAGUGAUGUGUAAUAAUACUGCGUACAGUGUGGUACUGUGUAAUAAUACUGCGUACAGUGUAGUG